rnacentral:lncRNA from 1 species
ACCUUGGCAGCUGCUCUCUGAUCUCCAUCAGCACUUGAGUUUUUGGAGCAUUGAGAGGGGCAUAGCUGUGGAAUCUUCCUGGGUGAGAGCUCUGUUGAACUCUGUGGUCCGGGCUUCUCAGCCUACGAGCUUAGGGGGGAGUUCGGACACGCUUGUGUGGGGGGAGUUUGAGAACGCGGUCGAACUUCACUCGGCCCUUUUUCAGCUGCGGGC